rnacentral:rRNA from 1 species
UACGAAGGGGGCGAGCGUUGUUCGGAAUUACUGGGCGUAAAGGGCGCGUAGGCGGCGACCCAAGUCAGAUGUGAAAGUCCUGGGCUUAACCUGGGGACUGCAUUUGAUACUGGGUUGCUUGAAUUCGGGAGAGGAUAGCGGAAUUCCCGGUGUAGUGGUGAAAUGCGUAGAUAUCGGGAGGAACACCAGUGGCGAAGGCGACUUCCUGGCCUGUUCUUGACGCUGAGGCGCGAAAGCUAGGGGAGCAAACGGG